rnacentral:rRNA from 1 species
AGAGAGAGACAUGCGCGCAUAUCAAUAAGCGGAGGAAAAGAAACUAACAAGGAUUCCCUUAGUAACGGCGAGUGAAGCGGGAAGAGCUCAAAUUUGAAAUCUUCAAGGUUUUACCUUGACGAAUUGUAGUUUAAAGAAGUGUUUUCUGCUGAAGUUUUGGUAAAAGUUCUUUGGAAUAGGACAUCAUAGAGGGUGAGAAUCCCGUAUUUGACCAUUAUCUUCAGCUUUGUGAUACACUUUCAAAGAGUCGGAUUGUUUGGGAAUGCAGUCCAAAAUGGGUGGUAAAUUUCAUCUAAAGCUAAAUAUUGGCGAGAGACCGAUAGCGAACAAGUACCGUGAGGGAAAGAUGAAAAGAACUUUGAAAAGAGAGUUAAACAGUACGUGAAAUUGUCAAAAGGGAAGCGUUUGACACCAGUGUUGUUUUCUCGAAAAUCAAUUAAAAAUGGCUCGAUUUUGUAUUGCUUGAGACCUUAAAAGCUCACUGUACAUUUUUCGUGUCUUUUUUAAUGCACUUUUCGUUUAACAAGUCAACAUCAGUUUCUUUUGUUGUAAAAGGGUCAUUGGAAGGUGGCUUUCUUUUCGGAGAAAGUGUUUAUAGCCUUUGGCCUCUGCAAUCGGAGAGACUGAGGUCUGCAGCGUAGACUCUUCGGGGUUAGAUACAUUUGUGCUAAGUUAUAGCUUUUUAUAGACAACUUGUUGACUAUAAUUAGUCUUGUAGCUUACUCGCUUAUGCUAUUUUACCUACGCUUAGGAUGUUGAAGAUGUAGCACAUCAU